ACAUUAAAGGUGGAUUGUAAUACAUGUUCGCGUGUAAGGUGUAGGUGAAAUCGUCCUUCAAUCAUUUGAACCAUAAACUCGAUAAACUACAAACUAGCUGUUUCACAUAACCUUUACACUUCAGCUAUUUCCUGUGUGUUUCCUCGUCACCCAAUCCUAGGUAUACGUUCUGACCUGAAAUUGAGCUGAUGAUAUCGCUUCUUGUAAGUGUUACUUAUUACCAUGUUGAACUGGAUGCAGUAACAAUACAGUAUUCGUUACAUGGCCUACGUAUGUCAGCUGGGGCGUGCUGGCGAAAAUCAAUACAAAAUCUAAAAAAGGCACCAGGAAUUUUGGAACUGAGCAGAAGGGGAGGGCAGUAAAGCAGAGUGGUGGAUGGGCGGAUCUUGGAUUACGUCACUGGAUCAAUUUCAGAAGCACGCUCCAAGGACCAUGGAGAUGGAAUGAUACAUGCUGCCGGAAACUUGCGCUAACUUGCAGAUGACUCCAGUUCAUUCCGAGCUCCCAGCCCGGCAGGAUCUGUAGCUAAGCGUUAAAAGUGCAGACACCAGGGUGGAGUCCUCUUCUUGAGGGUAAUGAAGUACCCAAGAUCACCUUUUUAAUCUUUGUUCAGUCCCUGUUUCUGCUGAACUGGAAGUGUAAGGAACAGCAGCCAUUACCAUUGCCUGUCUGGCUGUUACACAAGGUCGGCAGUGGAUCUGAUUCAAUAGAACUCCAUGUUCAGACUUUUUGGACCUAAGGGCUUGCAGUUCAUGGGAAUGUGGUUGGUGUUUGGCCAGGUCUUGAGACAACAAGCUCAGCUUGCAUGCAACUUUUAUUGACUCCUCCUCUAAUUACCAUUUCCUCUGUUGGCAUACUCUCCCAUCUGUGGGUCUUGCGCACUCAUCCUCUCUGACUGUUCUCAGACAUGGCAUUGCAACACAACCAACUUUCUUUCUCUUUUCUCUCUUUGAUCCCUUCCUCCGCUGUGUUUUGGGACUUUUUUCUGUGGGACAGAAAGGUGUUGCACAACUGUUGUAUGGACUCGGCCCAACUAAUAUUUAUAGAGUCAGUCAGGCUGAAUGUUUAAAGAGAAGAUUUAUUUGGGUGGAUGUGCUAGUUCAAUAGCCCUGGUCUGUUCCCCUGCUGUGUCAGGGCUGCUGUAACCGUACCAAAGCUGGAAGUAAAUGCGGAACUGAAUUUCUGGGAGACUGACAGACGCUGGUGUGGUGUCACAGCAGGUGCAGAGGAGACGUAGGAGUAACGACUCAGGGGUUAUGGGUUUCAGUCCCUGUGACAACACUGCUGUUGCGGUAUCACUUCAAGACACACUUGCAUGCCGUUGAAAAAGAACCAUAUUGCUUUAGAUCAAUGUCAAUGACACCCAAUAGCUCUUUGUUAACUGUGACCUUCGCUCCAGUUUCUGUCCUUGUUCUAGACGCAGGGGUAUUCUGUAUGUCCAUUUCGGUGGGCAGUGUUGGCUGGCAUCUGACAGGCCAGUCUUGCAAAAGGUCUAAUGUGACUCCAUUCGGGUCUGGUUUCCA